GACGAACGCUGGCGGCGUGCCUAAUACAUGCAAGUUGAGCGAUGAAGAUUGGUGCUUGCACCAAUUUGAAGAGCAGCGAACGGGUGAGUAACGCGUGGGGAAUCUGCCUUUGAGCGGGGGACAACAUUUGGAAACGAAUGCUAAUACCGCAUAACAACUUUAAACAUAAGUUUUAAGUUUGAAAGAUGCAAUUGCAUCACUCAAAGAUGAUCCCGCGUUGUAUUAGCUAGUUGGUGAGGUAAAGGCUCACCAAGGCGAUGAUACAUAGCCGACCUGAGAGGGUGAUCGGCCACAUUGGGACUAAGACACGGCCCAAACUCCUACGGGAGGCAGCAGUAGGGAAUCUUCGGCAAUGGACGAAAGUCUGACCGAGCAACGCCGCGUGAGUGAAGAAGGUUUUCGGAUCGUAAAACUCUGUUGGUAGAGAAGAACGUUGGUGAGAGUGGAAAGCUCAUCAAGUGACGGUAACUACCCAGAAAGGGACGGCUAACUACGUG
rnacentral:rRNA from 1 species